UAAUACGUAGGGGGCAAGCGUUGUUCGGAUUUACUGGGCGUAAAGGGCGCGUAGGCGGCGUGACAAGUCACUUGUGAAAUCUCCGGGCUUAACUCGGAACUGCCAAGUGAUACUGUCGUGCUAGAGUGCAGAAAGGGCAAUCGGAAUUCUUGGUGUAGCGGUGAAAUGCGUAGAUAUCAAGAGGAACACCUGAGGCGAAGGCGGGUUGCUAGGCUGACACUGACGCUGAGGCGCGAAAGCUAGGGUAGCAAACGGG
rnacentral:rRNA from 1 species